rnacentral:misc_RNA from 1 species
GUAGGUGAACCUGCAGAAGGAUCAUUAAAAAUGAAGCCGGGAAACCGGUCCUUCUAACCCUUGAUUAUCUUAAUUUGUUGCUUUGGUGGGCCGCGCAAGCACCGGCUUCGGCUGGAUUGUGCCCGCCAGAGGACCACAACUCUGUAUCAAAUGUCGUCUGAGUACUAUAAAAUAGUUAAAACUUUCAACAACGGAUCUCUUGGCUCGU